rfam:Pteropus alecto contig97680, whole genome shotgun sequence.
GUCUAUGGCUAUGCCACCCUGAACAAACCUGAUGUCUGAUCUCAUAAAGCUAAGCAGGCUCGGGCCUAGUUAGUACUUGGAUGGGAGACUACCUAGGAAGACCAGGUGUUGUAGGCA